rnacentral:lncRNA from 1 species
AUGCGAACCGUGAAAUUCCUGAUGUUCAAGCUGGUUUUAGAAAAGGCAGAGGAACCAGAGAUCAAAUUGCCAACAUCCGCUGGAUCAUGGAAAAAGCAAGAGAGUUCCAGAAAAACUUCUAUUUCUGCUUUAUUGGACUAUGCCAAAGCCUUUGACUGUGUGGAUCACAAUAAACUGUGGAAAAUUCUGAAAGAGAUGGGAAUACCAGACCAUCUAACCUGCCUCUUGAGAAAUCUGUAUGCAGGUCAGGAAGCAACAGUUAGAACUGGGCAUGGAACAACAGACUGGUUCCGAAUAGGAAAAGGAGUGUGUCAAGGCUGUAUAUUGUCACCCUGCUUAUUUAACUUCUAUGCAGAGUACAUCAUGAGAAACGCUGGACUGGAAGAAACACAAGCUGGAAUCAAGAUUGCCGGGAGAAAUAUCAAUAACCUCAGAUAUGCAGAUGACACCACCUUUAUGGCAGAAAGUGAAGAGGAACUGAAAAGCCUCUUGAUGAAAGUAAAAGAGGAGAGUGAAAAAGUUGGCUUAAAGCUCAACAUUCAGAAAACGAAGAUCAUGGGAUCCGGUCCCGUUACUCCAUGGGAAAUAGAUGGAGAAACAGUGGAAACAGUGUCAGACUUUAUUUUUUUAGGCUCCAAAAUCGCUGCAGAUAGUGAUUGCAGCCAUGAAAUUAAAAGACGCUUACUCUUUGGAAGAAAAGUUAUGACCAACCUAGAUAGCAUAUUCAAAAGAAGAGACAUUACUUUGCUGACUAAGGUCCGUCUAGUCAAGGCUAUGGUUUUUCCUGUGGUCAUGUAUGGAUGUGAGACUUGGACUGUGAAGAAGGCUGAGCACCAAAGAAUUGAUGCAUUUGAACUGUGGUGUUGGAGAAGACUCUUGAGAGUCCCUUGGAUUGCAAGGAGAUCCAACCAGUCCAUUCUGAAGGAGAUCACCCCUGGGAUUUCUUUGGCAGGAAUGAUGCUAAAGCUGAAACUCCAGUACUUUGGCCACCUUAUGCGAAGAGUUGACUCAUUGGAAAAGACUCUGAUGCUGGGAGGGAUUGGGGGCAGGAGGAGAAGGGGACGACAGAGGAUGAGAUGGCUGGAUGGCAUCACUGACUCGAUGGACGUGAGUCUGAGUGAACUCCGGGAGUUCGUGUUGGACAGGGAGGCCUGGCAUGCUGCGAUUCAUGGGGUUGCAAAGAGUCGGACACUACUGAGCGACUGUACUGAACUGAAGAAAGUUUUAUCAGGUAUGAACCAGGUGUGUGAACAGACUGCUCGAAUGAUGAUUUUGAAGGUCUACAGUGAAUAA